CGUCUAGCCAGUAACUCUGCACUCAAGUGUUUUCCUAUCGAUUCAACUAUACGUGCCGGUUGUUUGGCUCGUUGCGUAGAAUAAUGCAUCUGUGACGUAAAUAAAAUAGUAUCCUCCGUAAUUGAAAUAAAUUACCUAAUAGCCCUCUAUUUUCUAGAACUUAAGUAAUUUAACGUUCUGUUUGUAAAUAUCAAUUUGAAAGAAAUAGUCAUUGCAAGUUUUAUCAGCUGCUUCAAGUUUAUUACAGAUGUGAAAGAACACGCAACAAAGAAUGAGGAAGAGCAAGUGAACUCCACUGAAAGCGUGAUCCUGAGCGAGAAUGGUGCAAAAGCAGAAGACAAGAAAGAAAGAGACAAUGAUACACCGCUGGAACAGAGCAUACCACCCGAUUUAGAAAGAUAUAUUAGGGUAAGUUUUUAUAUCACACUUUUCUACUCUUUUAAUGAAUAAUAACUUUAUUUGCUUUCUUCUUAAGACGCGAUUUUAAAGAGUUUUAUUUGCAUUGCUUAAUUUAUUAAUCGAAUGAAAAUCGCAUCUAAUUUUGUGCAGUAUUUUAUGCCAGAACA
rnacentral:misc_RNA from 1 species